CAGCCAGUACGCUGCCAUCUACUGCUACAGAAACCUGGACUACCAGUACAGGUUGAACAUACCCUGAUUUGGGACAACUCCAGUACAACCCCAGUCCACUCCAAUGUUGGCCUUGGUAUUGCCCAGGAUAAAGGCUUUGUGUGGAAUGUGAAGUGGUGCCCAGGAGGAGCCUGGGAGCUGCUCACAACUAACAGGAAGACCCCUCACAUGCCCAGACUGCGUCUCCUGGCUGCCUCCACUUCAGAAGGUCACAUCACCAUCUACAGCCUGCCUCAACCCAACACACUACUGGCCUGCAGGAAACACACCGCUCAAAGGUUAGCAUGCUCAUUUAAAACACGAUAGAACCAAAGCAACUUACAAUUAACACACAUAUUAGUCAUUUGUGACAGAAUAUUGCCAUGUAACAGAUAUAUUAGCCAUAUCAUUAUGCCUGAAUCAAACCUUAACUCUGGUGUUAUAGUUGCAGUGUAUGUGCUGCUCCAGAAGGGAGCAGUAUUGUCAUUCAACAGCCUGAGCUUGGUCCUACAAAAAAGCUGGACUCUUUUUAAAAUCAGUUUUCAUGCUGCUCAUUGAAGUCGCAAUUGUAAAAAAAAUUCAAGGCAAACAAAUCAUAUUUGCUUCGUCUUCGUGUUUCAUGCAAGGGCACAUCAAAAUCAUGGUGUUAUU